rnacentral:rRNA from 1 species
UGGGGAAUAUUGGCACAAUGGGCGAAAGCCUGAUGCAGCGACGCCGCGUGAGGGAUGACGGCCUUCGGGUUGUAAACCUCUUUCAGCAGGGAAGAAGCGAAAGUGACGGUACCUGCAGAAGAAGCGCCGGCUAACUACGUGCCAGCAGCCGCGGUAAUACGUAGGGCGCAAGCGUUGUCCGGAAUUAUUGGGCGUAAAGAGCUCGUAGGCGGUUAGUCGCGUCUGCUGUGAAAACUCGAGGCUCAACCUCGGGCUUGCAGUGGGUACGGGCUGACUAGAGUGCGGUAGGGGUGACUGGAAUUCCUGGUGUAGCGGUGGAAUGCGCAGAUAUCAGGAGGAACACCGAUGGCGAAGGCAGGUCACUGGGCCGCAACUGACGCUGAGGAGCGAAAGCAUGGGGAGCGAACAGGAUUAGAUACCCUGGUAGUCCAUGCCGUAAACGUUGGGCACUAGGUGUGGGGUCCAUUCCACGGAUUCCGUGCCGCAGCAAACGCAUUAAGUGCCCCGCCUGGGGAGUACGGCCGCAAGGCUAAAACUUAAAUGAAUUGACGGGGUCAUAGCUGUUU